UUCAGAGUUAGACAAAGCAUCAUUGUCUUUAGGGCUUUUUCUGCACAGAGAUCAGGAUAAGAAAAGGAAAAACAUCCCAAGGCCUAACAGUGAAGGCAUCUGUUGCUGACCACACUGAGGGCUGUGGCUUCUCUUCAGACCUGGACUGGUGAGGUCUGCAGGCCUCUGGGCUGAGCCCGACUCCUCUUCAGCCUCAUUAACCCAGAAAGGGGUCUGGAGAGGUGAAUUUAGGCAGAUUCCAACGAGCAAGAACUGAUCAUCGUUCCUGCUUACCGCUGGUUGUUCUGGACAAGAAGUGAUAGAAUGUGUUACCUUCCAUGGCAAAAGAGACUUUGCAGAUGUGAAUGAGGUCAAACACCUUGUUGAAGGAGAUCAUCCAGGAAUAUCUUG
rnacentral:lncRNA from 10 species